GCUGGGAUAGCUCAGUCGGUAGGGCGUAAGACUCCUAACCUUAGAGUUGUGGGUUCAAGCCCUACGUUGGGCA